AUUAUGUAAAGUCCGUUCAAGAUAUUUCCGAUUCACGUAGACGUACAUUGGAUAAAGCUUUUGAUAAUAUGAACAGCCUGAGGAUUUCAUUACAUAUCGACGAUUAUAGUGAUGAAGUUGUUGAAAUUGCUAGACCUUUUAUGAAAUUGGCCUUGAACGGAAUUUCACUAGGGGGCGCAGAUCAGAGCUAGUAGAGGCUGCAUGUCUUUAUCUUGCCUGUCGGUGAGGAAUCUUUUCUUUCUUAAAUUUGUAAUUUGGUUACAU